UACGGGGGGGGGCAAGCGUUUGUUCGGAAUUACUGGGCGUAAAGGGUCCGUAGGUGGCCAACUAAGUCAGACGUGAAAUCCCUCAGCUUAACUGGGGGAACUGCGUCUGAGACUGGAUGGCUCGAGUGCAGGAGAGGAAUGCGGAAUUCCAGGUGUAGCGGUGAAAUGCGUAGAUAUCUGGAGGAACACCAGAGGUGAAGACGGGUUGCUGGGCCGACACUGACGCUGACAGCGCGAAAGCCAGGGGAGCAAACGGG
rnacentral:rRNA from 1 species